UUACUUCCCUCUGCUUUUUAGUUCCGUGCAAAAACUGGUGAUGGUGCCCAUAUUGCACAACUGUGUGAUCUUUUAUUUAUUUAGUAUGAAUUGGUACAAUUGAAACAAUGAAAAUUGUUAUAGUACAUGCCAAAUACCGGUCACCGUGCCUGAAAUUACCUGGCGCAUUUAGCAAGAAAGGGGUCUUGGCUGUGGACUUGUCAAAGCGAAAAGCUAUUGAAAGAUUUUGUGCAGAGGUAAAAAGGCUGUGCCAUGCUGAAAAGAGGAAGGAUUGCGUCGGAAGCCUACUUGCUCAUCCUAGGAAAAUUUAUCAAUAUGUUUGCGGUGCUAGAUAAGCUGAAAAACGUGAAAUCAAGUGUGAAAAAUGAUUAUUCUACCCAUCGCCGUGUCACCCAGUUCUUGAAAGUUAUGGCAGAUUCACUCACCCUGCUGGAGUCACAGAAUUUAUUCAUGUUUCUCUCUACACAGAACAAAAUUCGGGACACAGUGAAAGAUAAUUUGGAAAAAAUAAUCGGUUACGAAGAGCUUCUGUCCUAUAUUGUCAAUCUGUGAGUGCACUUGUUCGAAACAAAAAUUACACCUACCGACAAGCGCAUGCCGGUUAAAGUUGUACUGGUUUGGAUCUACGCCCUGGAGCGCCAUCCAAAAUCAUUCUCAGGAUGGCCAAAGUCAUUGCUUUUGUUUUGUCAGAGGACUGGCUGAAAGCAUCUGGCAACACACACCGAAAACUGGAAGCACCCCUACGCCUGUUACCAUGCAUCUGCUUACUGUGUUGCGAUGAUGGCAAAUCUCCUCUCGUAUUGCUUUCUGUGAAGGAGAAAUAACAAUCAGUUCCGAAGAGGAGCCGCCAUCCGCAGACACUUUGAGAACUGAUGCAGUAGAUUAUACGGGAUGCAGCUCUUGCGACAAGCCUGAUAACUAGAUGCUUGAAUCAGGCAGCCUAGAACACAUGUCUUGAAAGAAAAUCCCAAUUAUUUUCGUUCCUCAAUGAUUACUUUUAGACGGAAUUGACGCUGCUCAAAAUUGUUUUACUUCUCUCUUACUGCCUUUUUUAAACAAUAUAUAUAUAUUUUUUUAAUUUAAUGGUCAUUUUGUUUACUUGCUAAUUAUAAUAUUCAUUUAUUAGUGUUUAAAUACGUUAGUGAGUUGCUUGUGUAACACUGAUUUUUGUUCCUUUUUUGGAAACUUGAAUGAAUUUCAUGCGCUCAUGUAAACAAGCUCGUUCUUAGACUAACAGUGCAAAUAUGGCAAAUUUCACCUAAGCCUUUCUUUAGCACGUUCAACCCAUAUUUUGUACUUGUAUCCCCUUGAAAUAUCAUAGCGUUAGUGAGUCAACAGAGUAAUGCUGAUUUUUAUCCCUAUUUUCGGAAACUUGAAUAAAUUUCAUGCGCUUAUGUAAACAAGCUCGUUCUUAGACUAACAGUGCAAAUAUGGUAAAUUUCACCUGAGCCUUUCUUUAGCAUGUUCAACUCAUAUUUUGUACUUGUAUCCCCUUGAAAUAUCAUUAUGUUAGCAAGUCUGAUGCAAGUCUGUGUGCAUUACUGAUUUUUUGUUUUGUUUUCAAGAACUUAAAUAAAUUUUCUUUUUUCUACUA